UACGUAGGGUGCGAGCGUUGUCCGGAAUUAUUGGGCGUAAAGAGCUCGUAGGCGGUUUGUUGCGUCUAUCGUGAAAACCUGCGGCUUAACUGUGGGCUUGCGGUGGAUACGGGCAGACUUGAGUUCGGUAGGGGAGACUGGAAUUCCUGGUGUAGCGGUGAAAUGCGCAGAUAUCAGGAGGAACACCAAUGGCGAAGGCAGCACUCUGGGACGUGACUGACGCUGAGACGCGAAAGCGUGGGGAGCAAACAGG
rnacentral:rRNA from 1 species